GGUUAAUGAGAUAAUUAUAAAAAAUGAUGACAUUUCUUUUUGAAGAUUGCAUGUGGGCAAUCAGAUAUGUCAGGAGCUCAGGAUGUGAGGCAGCAGUAAAACGCAAAAGAUGAUGACGUUUUGAGAGUGUUCUUAGAGAAUUUAUAUAUUUUCCUUUUUUUUUUUCCCUUCUCAUGUACAUAUCUGAAAAAUAAAUAAAUGAGAAAGGAAAAAUGCAGGCAGGUUUGAUCUGUGCUUGCCUUUGUUGAAUCUCAGGUUUUGGCUUCUUGAAAUAGGGGAUUGAGAGCAUAAUGUUAAGUUCAGGGAAUAAUUUAAGCUGGGGAAGUGCCACAAUGUCAUCAGAUGUUCCACCCUUGACACAGUGCUUAUCUUUGGAACCAAUUACAUUAGGCUAUCAGAAAUAUACUCGUUCUGGAGAGGUUAGGCGGGUUUUGGGUAUCCCUCUUGGAAGUGCAUCAGAGGACCAUUCCUUUGGAGUUGCUCAUCCCAAGCCUCCACCUCCGGUGGCAACAGAGGAACUAAAACACUUUAAAGAAAGUGUGCAAGAUGCUUGUAAAAUGGCCAGGGAUAGAGCAAAAAUGUUGCGUGAUUCCUUGUUCAAAUUGGAUAAGUAUAGGGAAGCCUUAAGCUCAAAGAAGCGACAGAGGAGUGAACUUUCAUUAAAUGAGAGGUCAAAUGGAGCAAAUGCAGGAAAGAUGGGGAGUCAGAUUCAUAGAAAUUCUCAUGACAUUAUGACUCAGAGAUUGGAAGACAGGGCCAAGAACGUUGGGCUGAAUAAGCGUGUUCGUACAUCAGUGGCUGAUGUGCGGUCAGAUGGUAGGUCCAGCACUCCCUCAAGGCAGCAGAUGAUCAUGGAAAAGGGUGGAGAUAUGCUCCAGGAUGCCAGUGGGGUUACUGUUAAGUUUGAAGAAAAGAUCCAAAGAUUACCUGCUGGAGGUGAAGGAUGGGAUACAAAAAAUAAAAAAAAGCGUUCUGUUGGAUUGGUAGGUAGUAGAGUUAUAAAUGGUGACCGAGAUCUAAAACGAUCUAUGCAUCCAAAGAUUAGUGCGGACUCUAAGUUGCGAUCUUGUGAUGCUCAGAGUUUCAGAUCAAAAUCUUCACCGGGUGUUGGUGGAAUCAACAAGUUGGAUACUACUUUAGAGCCUAGUGGUUCAGACACCAGUACAGUAAUCAGGAAUGAAAUGGAUACUGGAACUCUUUCAAGAGAUCGUUUGGCCCUUUUAGAGCAGAAAGUUGUGACAAAAGGAAGCAAUAAGCCAAAUAUUCAUGAAGAUAAUUUAGCAAGCGGUCCUAAUACAAUGAUAAAAGCAAAGGUUUCUAGGGGACCACGUACCAUGGUGUUAGACUCAUCACUCAAAGUUCAUUCCUCUUCAACAUCUCUUCAAGGUGCGGAACAGCCUACAAGUUCAAAUAAAGUUGCAGUGCCCGGUUUGGUAAAUAAUCAUAGGCGUCAAAUGUCUGCAGGCUCAUCUUCCAUGGCUCAGUGGGUUGGUCAGAGGCCACAUAAAAACUCACGUACGAGGAGGGCAAAUGUAGUUGCUCCUGUUUCAAACCAUGUUGAGAUUCAGAUAUCAUCUCAGGCCAAUGAUUUUACUGCCAGAACUUCCAUUGGAAUCAAUGGAUCAAUAGUUGCUAGCAGCAUAGACAAUAGUACUCCCAAGUUUAAAAGGGAAAUUGACAGUGUUCCAUCUCCAUUUGGGUUUUCUGAAAGUGAAGAAUCAGGUGCUGGGGAGAAUAAAACAAAAGAUAAAGGAAUAGAUAAUGGUGAGGUUGCUCUGACUGCACCUCAUAAAGUUGGUGCUUUUCUGUUGCCUGCUCAGAAGAAUAAAUUACGUACUAGUGAGAUUGGGGAUGGUGUGAGGAGACAAGGAAGGAGUGGAAGGGGUUCAUCUCUAACAAAGCCAGCCAUUCAUUCAGUGAGAGACAAAUUAGAGAAUCUACCAACUACAAGGCCAAUUCAGAGUGUGAAACCUGCUUCUGAUAAGAAUAAAAGCAAAACUGGUCGUCCACCUUCGAAAAAGGUGAAAGAACGGAAGUCUUUAGCUCGUGUUGGGCCAUUGGUUAAUAGUGGAUCUUUAGAUUUCACAGGAGAAUCUGAUGAUGAUCAUGAAGAGCUAUUUGUGGCUGCCAAUUCUGCUCGGAACGCAAGCAACCGUGCGUGCUGUGGUCCAUUUUGGAAGAAAAUGGAAUCUAUUUUUGGUUCUGUCAGCUCAGAGGACAUGUCCUACUUAAAGCAACAGGUGCUUUGGCUAGGCAGAUAGAUUUGAGGUUUAUGAACUUUUAUGUGUCAUGGACUUACAAUUUCUUCUUGUUUCUACUUCUUCGCUGUUAAAUCAGCUAACUUUUGCAGAGGAGCUUGAUGAGAGUUUGUCUCAGAUGCUUGGUGGUGAAUAUAAUCUUUUGGUAAUGAAUUAAUAUUAAUUUUUUUAAAAAAAUGGUUUCUUUCCCUUAGACUUCUACACUUCCUUGUUGGGAUAAGAACGGUUCAGACUAAUUAUUCAAGUCUAUGCUAACUUUCUAAUACCAAAAAUCAGUGUUCAAUCCCAAGUAAACUCAAAUGAUAUAAAGCAGAAAACCCUCCCAGAAAUUUUGUUUUUGGGACAAGAAUUGUUAACCUUAUUUCUGUGUUGCAAGAUUUGACUGUAUCAACAACUUUUCCCAGUCAAAUAAACUGUAUCUUGGUGGUAUGAGAUGACUUGUUAUCACAUUUCACUGGUGCAUGGAGGUCUGCCAAAUGUUAGGGAGUACUUGUUUGCAUAUAUUACAUAGCUGUCAUUGUCAUUGUAUCAUCUUCUCUCUUCUUUUUAUUUUUAUUUUAUAUUUUUUUUAUAAUUUCACACGGGAAUGAAGUUUAGCAUUCUAAAUAAUUCUGAACUUCAUUCUUUUAGGGUGUUCUUGUGCAUAAAGAAAUGACUGAUUAUUCUGGCGAAAGACAAGGUGAUGACUCUAACCAAGAAUUAGACAAGAAAGCUUCUUUAUGUGGAAAGAUUGACAUGGGAAGAUUGGAAAAGGGUGAUCCACUGUACCAGAGAGUUCUCUGUGCUUUGAUUGAAGAAGAUGAAAGUGAAGAAUUUUACAUCCACGGUGAAGGGAAGAGUAUGCCAUUUCACUAUGCUAGUGACGAUUCUCAUUGUGGUUCAUGUAAUCUGAUUGAUAUUGAACCCAAAGAUAGGGACAGAAUGGAAUCUGAAGUUGAGUCAAAAGUGAAUUUACAGACCCAGAAGAAUUGUUUGUUGGACAGAGUUUCAUGUGAUAAAAGUGUUGCAUCCAACACAAUUAGGAACCCUAGCAUGUCAAAUUCAUUGCAUAGCAGUGAACGGUGGCCAGGGGAUGAUGAUUGCUCACAUUCGGAGAUUGGGCAUGCCGGUGAAAUAUGUUCAAAUGAUAUGAGUCAACUGCAGACAAGGGAAUUAAAUACAACUGGCUUCCCUUCUUCUGAUCACAAGUAUCAGCUGAUGUGUCUUGAUGAUAGGGUUCUCCUGGAGCUACAGAGUAUUGGUUUGUGUCCAGAGACAUUGCCUGAUCUGGCAGAUGGAGAGGAAGUUAUUAAUCAAGAUAUAAUGGGACUUCAGGAAGGGCUAUACCAAGAGAUUGGAAGAAAGAAAACGAAGUUAGGGAAAAUUGGUAAGGCUGUGCACAAAGGGAAAGAAGUGGAAAAAAGGAACAUUGAACAGUUUGCAAUGGACCAACUUAUUGAGAUGGCUUAUAAAAAACGACUGGCUUGCCAUGGGAAUACUUCCUCAAAAAGUGCAGUCCGCAGAGUUUCAAGACAAGUUGCACUGGCUUUUAUCAAGCGCACUCUUGCUAGAUGUAGAAAAUUUAAGGACACAGGGAGCAGUUGCUUUAGUGAACCUGCAUUACUGGAGGUCAUCUUCUCAACACCUCCGAGCAACAAUGAUGCCAAAUCUGUUGAUUGUGUUGGCUCAGGAACUGCAAGUAACACAUGCAAUGAAGUUUCUAACCAUCAUGCUGAAGCCAGAGGCUCAGGUGCUGUUUCUAGUGCUUUGGAGAGAGAUGAUUCACAUGGUGAUUGCUUUGAUGGAGGUAAGAAGAGGGAAGUGCUUAUUGAUGAUGUUAUCGGCAGUGCUUCGUCGAGAGUUACAUCAACUCUUGAUAGUGCUGGGCUUGGUGGAGUAAAGGCUAAGAGAAGUGACACAGAAAGUUAUCAAAACAAGGAUAGUAUAAGAGGUAAUUCUGUUUCUGGAACUAGUCGCUCAUCAGUCGAUGGCUUCAAAAGUGAGUGCAAAACAAAAUCCAAGACCAAGCAAAAGAGUAGUCAUUUGUCAAAAACUGGAAAUGGACCUCGCGGAUCUGGUCUUUCAGUAGCUAAUGCUAGCCAUAAAAUAGACACAGAAUUUGGUUCAGUAUCUCUCGUUAACAUCCGUCAGGAAACUUCUAAAGAGGCUGAUGAACCCAUUGAUUUCGCAAACUUGCAGCUGCAAGAAUUAGAUACAAUUGGAAUAGAAGUAUCCACUGACCUUGGCGGGCCACAAGAUCUCUAUUCAUGGUUGAAUUUUGAUGAUGAUGGCUUACAAGACCAUGAUUCCAUAGGUCUCGCAAUACCAAUGGAUGACCUUACAGAAUUGAAUAUGAUCAUGUAAGAGAAAUUUGCACUCUUCUUUUUUGGUUGAGCAAAGAUUCAAGGGACCAUUGAGAGAUCAGAGCUAGUGUAGCCCAGGCAAGUAAAUCGAAGAUUGCAACUGUAUAUAAUUUGUAGGUAAAUUGAAUGUUAUUUUGAUUAUUUGUGUGAAUUGAACAUCUGUGCUUCCCAUAUGCAUGUAUUCGUAUGAGAGGUGUAGGAUGUAUAAAUACAUUUAUCUUCUCAUUUUAUGUAGUAGCUUGCCUAAGAAUCCAUAGCAGGUUGUGGUACGUUUCUGAAACAGUGAUGCCAUUCUUCAAGGGAUUCAGGAGAUUUUUCUG
rnacentral:misc_RNA from 1 species